rnacentral:lncRNA from 1 species
UUGCAAGUCUUCCGAUAAGCUUUUUUUUAUGAUUAGGAAUCCAAUUCAGUACCCUAAAUUUACAACAUUCACACACCCUGCGCACCAACUACUUGCACUAGACUCCAGCGGUGUUGAUUAGAUUUAAUCGAUUUUGCAUAGAAUGUAUGAUAUUUAAUACAUGUUCUUGUGAUGCUGCAGAUAAUGAUUCCCUUUAACUACACAGAAUUCAUAGAUGGCUUGACUUUACUAGUGAAAAGCAAUGCCAUACCUAUGAGUAGAAUUGAUGAUGCAGUGAAGAGAAUUUUGAGAGUCAAGUUUGUUAUGGGACUAUUUGAAAAUCCAUUGGCAGAUUACAGCCUUACCGAUCAACUCGGGAGCCAGGUUAGUCGAUGAGCUUCGAUUUAAAUAUGAUUUUAGUCCGAAAAACUUAUACCAUAAAUCCAUAAUGAGAAACUAAAUUGGCGACAUAAUUUGACAGGAGCAUAGGGAAUUGGCUAGGGAAGCUGUGAGGAAAUCAUUGGUACUAUUAAAGAAUGGUGAAAAUGCUGAUAAGCCGCUUCUUCCUCUUCCUAAAAAGGCUCCAAAAAUACUCGUUGCUGGAAGUCAUGCUGAUAAUCUAGGAUAUCAAUGUGGUGGAUGGACCAUUCAGUGGCAAGGACUUAGUGGCAACAACAUCACUAGUGGUAUACUAUAACAUCCUUCACUUUUCUCCCACUAUUGUUUGAUACUAUCUUGCACCAAAAAUACAAGCAACAAUUGCACUCAUAUCCAUUUUAGAUUGAAGGCGUGUCUGAUGUCAAAUAUGUCACUGUCUGACACUGACCGACACAUAUUGUUACAUUCAAUCAUUUUAAUUUUCUAUAGUCAGUGUCGUGUCCAGUGUCCUUGUUUGUGCUUCAGCGAAUGCAAUAUAUUCCUAACAUAUAUUUUUAACAUCGUUGAACUGAUACAGGUACCACAAUUCUGAGUGCUAUAAAAAACACAGUUGACAAAGAAACCAAGGUAGUCUAUGAGGAGAAUCCUUCACUAGACUACGUAAAAUCCAAUGAUUUUUCGUAUGCAGUCGUGGUAGUUGGAGAGACACCAUACGCUGAAACAAAUGGCGACAGCUUGAACUUAACAAUUUCCGGUAACGGAACAGAAACAAUAAACAAUGUAUGCGGCAGAGUGAAAUGUGUCGUUGUGUUAGUCACUGGUAGACCUGUUGCCAUACAACCAUAUCUUAACAAAAUUGACGGACUCGUUGCUGCUUGGCUUCCUGGUAGUGAAGGUACUGGUGUUGCUGAUGUUUUGUUUGGUGAUUAUGGAUUUACUGGUAAGCUUGCUAGGACAUGGUUUAAGACUGUUGAUCAGUUGCCAAUGAAUGUUGGUGAUUCUCAUUAUGAUCCUUUGUUUCCAUUUGGAUUCGGUUUAAGCUCAUAAGGUUAUGGUGUUAAAUAAUGUAGCAUUUUUGGUGUGCUCUUAGGCUAUUUAUUACUAUUGUAUUUUUUUUACAUUAGAUGUUGGUACCACAUUGGUAUUGUGAUAUACUAUGUUUGAAAUAUUUUUCAGCUUCAAUUGUUAAACUUAUUGAGUUCCAAUCAAGUUUAUAUGUUUGUUCUUUAGACAAAUGUUAGUGGUUAAUGUAACAAAAAAAAUGUUAGUGGUUAAAUUGUUAGGGUGAAGAGAAAGAAAAUUACUCUUCUCACUUAUGGAAUGGCUCAUUCCCUUAUACCAACGGCAGUUAACUGUCGUUCGAUAUAUUUCAGCGGCCAGUAACUGUCGCUGGCAUUUUUAAGAUCCGUUGGACGGACUUAAAAAGUGAUUGAACAUAUCUUAAAAGUGUCUGCAACAGUGAAGAUUGAACUCUAACCUUCUUAUUUUGUGUUAACCUUCUUUGAAAGUCUAUAUUUGUUUUUAAAAAUAUAAUUCCAAAAGAUAUUACAGUUUUUGUUUUAAGAAUUAAAUCUUAGGAGACAAGUAUGAGUUGUGAUGCUUAGAUUGUGAUCUUAAUGGAUUUGGCAAGACCUAUAAGACAACGAACCGUUGGAGGAGAGAUGGUGAUAUGAGACAGUAAAAUAGAUUCUAGUGACAAUAGAUAAAAUUUAAGUCUCAAGUGUAGGGAUUCUAAUUCUCGUGCCACAAUCUCGUGUGUGUUCGUGCCAUGGCCACAUGGACCCAUAGUGUGAGAAGCCAUGUGGAACAUAUGUGUGGUUGGGCAUAUGAUUUGGUCUUAGGAGGGACAAAUGCUGAUAAAAUUCAACAUAUUAAGACCAUGCUAUAUAAGAAAUUCAACAUCAAAGACCUAGGAGAGUUCUCAAAUAUUUUUUAGGCUUUAAAGUUGCAAGAUCACAUACUGUUAUUACUUUGUGUCAAAGAAAAUAUACUCUUGAUUUACUUCAAGACACUAGGCUUCUAAGCACUAAACCUUGUUCUACUCUUAUGCAACCAUAACUUCAAUUACAAAAAGCUUCUAGAGAACUUCUAUCUGAACCAACUGCAUACAGAAGACUCAUUGGUAUACUUCUAUACUUAACUUACUCCCGACCAGAGAUUUCUUAGGUCGUAAGCAAACUUAUUCAAUUUUUAGAAGCUCCGACAAAUGAGCAUAUGUUAGAUGGUAUAUAUGUUUUCAAAUUUCUCAAGAAUAAUCCUGGUCAAGGGUUAUUUUUCAGUUCAUUCUCGCCAUUAACACUUAAAUGAUUCUUUGAUUCAAAUUGGGGGCAUGUCCAAAUAACAGAAGAUCAACAACUGGAUUUUGCUUUUUCCUUGGCACAUCUAUCACAAGUUGAGUAUAGAGCUUUGUUACAAGCUACAUGUGAAGGACAGUGGUUGAUUUACUUACUGCAGGAUUUACUUAUAGCACAUACCACACCUAUCAUUCUAUAUUGUGAUAACAAAUUUUCACUAUAUAUUAUAUAGAAGCAAAUCAUGUGAACCAUGAAAGAACUAAACACAUUGAAAUUGACUGUCAUGUAAUAAGGGACAAAGUGCAGGUAGGAGUAAUUCACUUGCUACCAAUAUCCUCAAAAGACCAAGUUGCUGAUAUUUUGACAAAGUCUUUUGCAUCUAGAUCCAUUCAAUAUCUUGCAGGACAAGCUUGGAACAAUUAACAUUUAUUCCGUCUUGAGGAGGGAUGUUAAAUUCGGACGAGAAAUAUGUAAAGUGGUCAAGAUUUGUUCCACAAAUCAAACUCUGAUUCUCCCAAACGAUUCAUGUACUUUUGUGGAGUUCAUUCACCAUUGUCAUUGUGCCUAGUCACUUGGACAAAUUCCAAUAUUAUCUAUUUGAUUUGAAACUUAUCUCUUAAAAGAAACGUAAUCAUCACUACAAUUGAAUAUAUAUAUUUUAAAACUAUCCAUACUAGAUUUGAUCAUUAAAUUUGACCAAUUAUAAACAAAACCAAAAUUAAAAGUAACGUUGUUAUUGUUAAUUGUUUAAUUAAGAUAAGGAUGGAACAUAAACGUCGCGUCUUCAAACCAUAACAGCCUGCAUGAUUGACUAUUUUUUUUUUGUCUAUUUAUAUGUAACAAUCUUACAACUACUUUACAAAUAUUCACAUUCUUCAACUUCCAAACUUUGCCUUUUUAUUAUUCUUUGAAAAGUACACAUUUUGUCUCUCCUUUCUUGUGUAACAUUGAAGUGCCACAUAAAAGUUUGUUAGCCAUAAAACUUGUAAAUUGGUAUGCAAUUUUUUUUGUUAUAUUUUAUACUUGUAAAUUUUCAAUUUAAUAUACUGACAAAAAAAAAAUUCAAUUCAAUAUUUAUUUCUGUUGUUGAUUGUUGAAAUGAAUCAGCAGUAGUCAGCUUCAUGGUACUACAAACCGUUAGAUUAAUAAAAUUUGCAUCUAACGGCCUGCAUCCGUCCGACUUUAUAGGAAAGACGGAUAUACAAUAAAGCCGACCGUUGAGGAUCAAAUUUUUUGUUUAUUGGUUGCAAAUAAACUUCAUGACUAAAAUUGAAAUGGGUCUAACUAUUUUAUGAAUGGUUUUGUAUUCAUUAAUGGUAUGAUAAGGAUGCUUGAUUUGUUAUUGAACAUGCAUGUUUAUCUCUAGAACAUUGUUGUGAUCUUAUUUUGAAGUUGUUUUGAGAGGUAGAAAUGGCCAAAAGUACAAUGUUUUUGGUGGGGCUUGUGCUCUUGCACUACUUGGUAGCUAUGGCAGAAGCUAAGCAUUUGAGAUACAAAGAUUCAAAGCAGCCAUUGAAUACUCGAAUCAAGGAUCUUCUCGACAGGAUGACUUUGGAAGAGAAAAUUGGUCAGAUGGUUCAGAUUGAACGCAAUGUUGCUUCUGCUGAAGUAAUGAACAACUACUUCAUUGGUAAGAUUUGUUUCCUAAAUUUUUUUCCUCUUAAACUAGAUUUUCAAAAAUAAUUGUUAGUGCAUAUUUUAGCUGUGAAAUGCACAUAAGGAAAUUCACCUAAGUUUUUGCUUUUUAUCUCCAUGCAUGCAAUGUAAUUUAAAUUGAGGAUGCAUAUGGAUUCGUUGCAGUUUCAUUUUGUAAUCCAUAUCGGCCAUUGAUUUGAGAUCAGACAGUUUAAAUUACACAUUUAGUAUAUCAGUAUUAAACGAUUCUGACCAUCGAUUUAGGUCAGAUGGCUAAGUAACUGCAUGAUUUAAGAUGCCAAAUAGUUUGUAUUAGGAUUUUUUUUUAAUUUUUAACUUUAAUUUUCUAUAGGGAGUGUUCUAAGUGGUGGAGGAAGUGUUCCUAAACCAAAGGCUACUGCAAAGGAUUGGGUUGAUAUGAUCAAUGAAUUUCAAAAGGGUGCUUUAUCAACUAGGCUUGGAAUUCCAAUGAUAUAUGGAAUUGAUGCUGUUCAUGGAAAUAAUAAUGUCUAUAACGCAACUAUUUUUCCUCACAAUGUUGGUUUAGGAGCUACAAGGUAUACUUAUAUUUUUUUUGUGUGAAAACUUUGGUUUUCAAUUCUUUGAUUAUUGAUGAUUUCUUGUAUUCAAAUUCAAAGGUCUUCUCUUGUGUGUUAAAUAUUAUAAAAAAUAUAGUAUGAUUUUAUCAACUAGUUAUGGAAAAGAAAGAAAAAAAAAUACAUGCAACCAAUACUUUGUCAAAAACGUGCUUUCAUGUUGGCUAUGGAAGGUACGCAAUCCAAAUAAAAAAUUACAUGUGGUUGAGAGACCUAUAAUAUAAUGCAAGAUCUUACCCUUAUGAUUUUUAGUGAUGUUAUCAAAUAUAUAUAUAUAUAUAUAUAUAUAUAUAUAUAUAUAUAUAUAUAUAUAUAUAUUUUGGUACAAACAAAUAUAUUUAAUUUACUAAAGUAUUCAUAUUUUAAUUGUUUUAGGUAAAUGGACAGGACAUUUUGGGUUUGGAUUAAUGUUGUAAAAUUUACUUUGAUUGUCUUUUACUCUAUGUUCUUUUUCCUAUGAUAUUAGACUUUAUUGUAAACGAGCAAGCAGUCUUUUAGGUAUGAAUGUGUGAGGCGUUGUCAUUAUAGUUAAAUGUAUAAUAAUAAUAAUAUCCUUAAGUGUGUCUUUUGUUAAUAAUUUUGAAGAUCACAUCGACUAACAAAGGACACAUUCGAGAAUCAAAUUAACUAACAAAAUAUAAAUUUGAGGAUCAAACUGACUAAUGACAUGUUGAUCGAAUGAAAGUUAAUUACACAAAGAAAAAGCUUUUUUCACUAUAACUCUUUGUAUUGAUGAUAGAUUUUCUAUAUCCUAACUUGCAGGGACCCUCAACUAGUGAAGAAGAUUGGUGAAGCAACUGCUCUUGAAUCCAGAGCAACUGGAAUUCCAUAUGUCUUUGCGCCUUGCAUUGCGGUAAUUAAGAUAAUCGAAAUACCUAACCUAUUUGUCAAUCACAGAAAAUAACAAUUUGUUCAAAUUUCGCUACGCUACAAUAUACUAUGUGACAACACUUUGUAUUAAAUAGUGUGUGGCACAACAAUAGCAAUUUGUUCAAAUUUCGCUACUAUGGACCACAAUGUUGCGCCGCUUUUGCCAAUAUUUGACAAUAUCAUUCAACCUUAUGACAUAUGUGUUUGAAUUUAAAGGUGUGUAGAGAUCCAAGAUGGGGUAGAUGUUAUGAAAGUUAUAGUGAAGAUCAUAAAGUAGUUCAAGCUAUGACUGAGAUCAUUCCAGGACUUCAAGGUGACCUCCCUGCAAAUUGGUCAAAUGGUGUUCCAUAUGUUGCUGGAAAGUAAGAAUUCACGAUGCUGUUGCAGUUUUAUAUAUGCAUGUCUUCUGUCUAAUUACAUAUGAGAAUCGACUGUGACCGGAAAAUUGAAUUGAACCAAUUUAGUUCUUUUUUGUGUGAUUUGGUUUGCGUUUUGGUUUUUUCAAACAGUCAUAAUAAUUGGUAUUUAAUCAACAGUAUUAAUUAUCCGUUAAUAAUAACAAUUUGAUACAGUUUGGUUCGAAAAAGUAUAGUUUGAUUUGUUGUAAAGGUAGUUCUGGUUCGGUUUGAAACCACGUUGUAGGUGGCCCAAACCUUUUUACCAAAUCGAUUCAGGACACCCCUAAUCUGAGGAGUGUCCGUGCUUCGUAGUUUUAUUCAUAUCUUGAACUUAAAAUGAUGUUUUGGCUUUCCUAUGACAUGAAUAAUGAUAAAAUUCGUCUAAGUGUUGGUGUUUGAUUUUGUUCUCAUUUUCUUGUACAGCAAGAAAGUUGCAGCUUGUGCUAAGCACUUUGUCGGUGAUGGUGGAACAACAAAAGGAAUCAAUGAGGAUAACACAGUUGCAAACAGACAUGAAUUGUUUAGCAUUCACAUGCCAGCUUACUAUAACUCAAUCAUUAAGGGUGUCUUAACCGUCAUGGUCUCAUACUCAAGCUGGAAUGGAGAAAAGAUGCAUGCUAAUCGCGAUUUAAUCACCGGCUUUCUUAAGAACACGCUCCGUUUCAAGGUAAUAUUUUACCUCAUAACAUAAGCCUUUGAUUGCAUCAAGAGUUUAAUUUGUAUGCACUAUAUGUAUAAAAAACGUGACAAUAAAUUAUAGGAUGACGGUGUAAAAUAGGUGGCAAUAUAUUAUUGCAUAAAUAAUUGUAUAUUAACUUAACCCUAAAAUUGUUUGUUUAUCAAUCAUCAUAUUAGUAUAUGCUUAAAAUUGGAUGUUUUAAUGCAGGGUUUUGUCAUAUCAGAUUGGGAGGGAAUCGACAGGAUAACUUCACCUCCUCAUGCUAACUACACAUUUUCAAUUGAAGCCGGAGUGAAUGCCGGUAUUGACAUGGUAAACUAUGUUUUUUACUAGUCUUUUGAAUAGCUGUAUAUUUUUUAUUAUUAUUAGGAAUUGAACUCGGAAUUUUAAGGUUUACAAUACUUGCACAUUCUGUGAACCAACCACUUGCACCGAAUCCCGGUGGUGUUGAUUAGUCUUAUUCAUAAAAAAUAUAAUCUUUAAUAUUUACCCUUGUAAUGAUGCAGAUAAUGAUUCCCCAUAACUACACUGAAUUCAUUGAUGGCCUAACCUUACUAGUGAAAAAGAAUGUCAUACCUAUGAGUAGAAUUGAUGAUGCAGUGAAGAGAAUUUUGAGAGUCAAGUUUGUUAUGGGCCUAUUUGAAAAUCCAUUGGCUGAUUACAGCCUUGCCGAUCAGCUCGGGAGCCAGGUUAGUCGAUCAGCUCAGAGCUUACACUGUCAAUCAAUAGUAAUCGUAAGAUCGUUUAAAAUGUUUGGUGUUGACAGGAGC